GUCCAGAGCAUGAUUACUAAGAAAGUCAAGCUUGUCAACGUGAUCCAAGUCAUGCUUGUCCGCCGGAUUCUUCCGUGCCAACGCAGAACUUGCUAUCUGUGGGAGUUUGAUCCGGCCAAGCAUCCGACCCUACUAGAGCUCUUCGGCAUGACGCACAAAGAAAUCUGGAAAGUGCUCUUCAAGGCCAACGAGGAGCCGCCGGCCACGGACGAGGACCAUGGACACGACCUAACUCACCCAGCUAAUCCGGCCUGGAUAGAAAUAGCGGAGCGGAUUAACUGUCCGGCUCCGCUACCCGAAGACCAAGAAACCCCACUUCUAACGAAG
rnacentral:rRNA from 1 species